rnacentral:rRNA from 1 species
GACGGGUGAGUAACACGUGGGCAACCUGCCUGUAAGACUGGGAUAACUUCGGGAAACCGAAGCUAAUACCGGAUAGGAUCUUCUCCUUCAUGGGAGAUGAUUGAAAGAUGGUUUCGGCUAUCACUUACAGAUGGGCCCGCGGUGCAUUAGCUAGUUGGUGAGGUAACGGCUCACCAAGGCAACGAUGCAUAGCCGACCUGAGAGGGUGAUCGGCCACACUGGGACUGAGACACGGCCCAGACUCCUACGGGAGGCAGCAGUAGGGAAUCUUCCGCAAUGGACGAAAGUCUGACGGAGCAACGCCGCGUGAGUGAUGAAGGCUUUCGGGUCGUAAAACUCUGUUGUUAGGGAAGAACAAGUACGAGAGUAACUGCUCGUACCUUGACGGUACCUAACCAGAAAGCCACGGCUAACUACGUGCCAGCAGCCGCGGUAAUACGUAGGUGGCAAGCGUUAUCCGGAAUUAUUGGGCGUAAAGCGCGCGCAGGCGGUUUCUUAAGUCUGAUGUGAAAGCCCACGGCUCAACCGUGGAGGGUCAUUGGAAACUGGGGAACUUGAGUGCAGAAGAGAAAAGCGGAAUUCCACGUGUAGCGGUGAAAUGCGUAGAGAUGUGGAGGAACACCAGUGGCGAAGGCGGCUUUUUGGUCUGUAACUGACGCUGAGGCGCGAAAGCGUGGGGAGCAAACAGGAUUAGAUACCC